rnacentral:rRNA from 1 species
UACGUAGGGGGCAAGCGUUGUCCGGAUUUACUGGGCGUAAAGGGCGCGUAGGCGGCGCGGUAAGUCACUUGUGAAAUCUCUGAGCUUAACUCAGAACGGCCAAGUGAUACUGCAGUGCUAGAGUGCAGAAGGGGCAAUCGGAAUUCUUGGUGUAGCGGUGAAAUGCGUAGAUAUCAAGAGGAGCACCUGAGGUGAAGACGGGUUGCUAGGCUGACACUGACGCUGAGGCGCGAAAGCCAGGGGAGCAAACGGG